GUAGGUGGCAAGCGUUGUCCGGAAUUAUUGGGCGUAAAGCGCGCGCAGGCGGUUCUUUAAGUCUGAUGUGAAAGCCCACGGCUCAACCGUGGAGGGUCAUUGGAAGCUGGAGAACUUUGAGUACAGAAGAGGAAAGCGGAAUUCCACGUGUAGCGGUGAAAUGCGUAGAGAUGUGGAGGAACACCAGUGGCGAAGGCGGCUUUCUGGUCUGUAACUGACGCUGAGGCGCGAAAGCGUGGGGGGCAAACAGGGAUUAGAUACCCUGGUAGUCCACGCCGUAAACGAUGAGUGCUAAGUGUUAGGGGGUUUCCGCCCCCUUAGUGCUGCAGCUAACGCAUUAAGCACUCCGCCUGGGGAGUACGGCCGCAAGGCUG
rnacentral:rRNA from 1 species